UGAUUACAAAGGUCUUUGUAUUAAAAAGAAGUUUUGUAUUGCACACUAUUUAAAAAUCAACUAUAAAUUACAUUCUUUGAAACAAAACAUAAAAUUUUUUAAAGUACUAAAAUACCACAUACUGGUCAGAUCCAGCAUGAUCCUUUAGUAUAGUGAUCUAUAUUUAAGCAACUAUUGUGCCAACAGUGGCAUCCUAUAUGAGGAGAAGAGGAGAGCUGCACUGCACUGUGCACAUGCACUUGGAAUAACUUGGGUUUGAUGUCUAAGAUAAGGUGUGUCUUUCAAAAUACACAAAAUAAUUUAAAACAAUUUUCACAUAAACAUUAAAAUAAACUGACAUGAAAAACAUCAUAUUAUACUGAGAUACUCAUAUUAGUUAAAAUAUCCAAACUCUCACUAAUACUACAGGGUCUAAUUUGUUGUAGCUCUAACUUUCUGGCCAAAAUAAACUGGUGGGAGAACAAACAGAUAAAAUGCAAACUUACCAAGCACUAUGAAAUGCCUUUAAAAAUCUUACAUUUCUCAAACAAUGCAGUCUAUUAAUGGCUACAUCAACAGUUAUUAUUAAAGGGAUGUAAUAACUGUGAUUUAGAAACUCCCAUUCUCCUGUCUGUGUAUAACUCACGUUAAUAUUAGAAAGAAGUUAUUGCUAGUGAAUCCAGGAUAGUAAAUUAUGAAAGUAUAGCCCAGGGCUGGGGAUUUAGCUCACUGCACUUCAUCCCUUAAGAUAGUAUAAUGGAAAAGCAAUUACCUUUAACCUAAUACAAAAGUUGCUUCUUAAUGUUUAUGCCAGCAUCAUUUAAGUUUUUAGUGUUAAAAACUUCCUAAGGAGUGUUUUUUUUGUUUUGUUUUUCCUUCCUUUCUUAAAAUCUGGUACUGGAGAUUGAACCAAGAGCCUUCACACUGAGCUAUAUUUCCAGCACUUUUUAAAAUAUUUUGCAUUGAGACUGUGUUCCCAAGUUGCUGAGUUACCUAGCCUGAGAUGGAACUUACAAUUCUCCUGCCUCAGCCUCACAGAGUGGUGAGAUUACAUACUCUAGUUUUUUAUACUUGCUUAAAUUGUUCACAUAGGUUAAAAUUAGCUCAUAUAUUUCUACUUGUAUCUGCAGACUCUAGGGAUUUUACUCUAACACCAUUCACCACAGAAUGUAAUCCAACCUUAGGUUCCUAAUGAUCAACUGCCAGAAUGGCUUCUGAGAGGCCCAGGAUAUGCCAAGUCAUUCUCCAUGAUACAGUCUCAAGACUAAGAUUUAAUAAAACCUUAAUGGAAUAUGAAAAUCAAAGCAAAAAUUAUGCUUUCUGAAAUAUUUGUUAACUUGGCAAUUUUCUUCUCAAAGCACUUAAACAUUUAAAUAAAAAGUUUUAGAACCUAUCACAAAAGAUAACGAUAUGAAGCUUAAAUAUUUUAAUCAUAUAAUUUUUUAAAAUUCAUUGUAGACCACUGGACUGUAAGCUGAAGACUAGGGGCAAGCUAUUCUCCAACUUAGAACAAAACUAAGUAGUGCACCUAAGCAACAGUGUGACAAAGCAAGAAUGUUAACGGACUCCAAGUUUUUGAAGGAUCUUAGAGUAAAGGAAAUGUAGAAAAAAGAAUGAUAAGGAAAACAGAAAAGAGUUAAAAAAAAAAAAAAGGUGCAUGAUCAAGUGGAUUUCAAACCAAACUCUGAAACACUUCUGGUCCCAAGAAUUUCAGAUAAGGGACAGUCAACGUAUAUGUACAAAUCUAUUGUGAACAUGUGUUUUCAUUUCUCUUAAGUAAAAACUUAAGAACAGAACUGUUGGUUCUUAAGAGUAAUACAAAAAAUUUCUAUAUUGUUUUCCAAAAUGGUUUUAUCAUUUUACAUUCACAUUAGCAGUAUUAGAAAGUUCUAACUGGUUCAUACCUCAGCUGAAAUUUGUUCUUUUAAAACUUUUAACUUAAUCUCCCUAAUGAGUGUAUAAUAAAUACAAUCUUGGUAUUGUACUGAUUAGUAUUUUUUCUGAUUCUAGUGUUGCACGGUUUCCUUGUGCUGUACUGGCUAUUUACCAUCUCCUUGUAUCUACUUUUUAAUUGGGUUGUCUAUUAGUAAGAGUUCUUUAUAUAUUCUCAUCAUGGGUUAUAUGUGUUAUAAAUAUGUUCUGGUUAAGGGCUACUUUUCAUUUUCUUAACGAUGUCUUUUAAAGUUCUAAAUUUUUAUGGAAUCUCAUUUAUCAAUUUUUUUCUUUUAUACAUCAUGUAUUUUGUAUCCUAGGAAAUUCUUGCCUACCCUAAAUUAAUGAACAUUUUCCCUUAUAAUUUCUUCUUUAAGUUUGGUGUUUUUUUUGCGGUACCAAGGAUCAAACUCAGGACCUUGUACUUGCCAGGCAGGCAAGGCGCCACUGAGCUAAAUCCCUGGCCCUUCUUCUUCAAGUUUUAUAGUUUUAGUCUUUCAUAUUUAGGUUCAUAGAUCCUUUCAAGUUAUUUUUAUGUAUGGAAAUAAAGGGUUGAGGUUAAUUUUUUAUAUACAGAUUUUAAAAAAAGGUGCAUAUGAAAGAGUGUGACAGCCCAGCACCAGGCACUCCUCAGAGCCACCCAUGUUACAGGUUGCUUCUCCCAAACCCUGUAUCACAUUUUCUAUUGACUAACAUCAAAAUUAUCUGAACAUGGUGCUAUGAUGACAUGGGUAUAAAUUAAAACAUGCUUAAUUGCAGUUAAAAGGAUUACAGUUAUCAAAAGUAAAUAUGUUUACUAUUUAUACUUAAGUGUACAUUUACUUCCAAAGUGUGGGAAGUUGAAGCUAAAAUCACUAAAAGUUUCUGCAUACUUGGGUGGAUCCUGUGGGAUCAUCUGCAAACAUGUAUAAACUGAUAAUAUAUGGAUCAUGAAACGUAACUGAAGUCUUAUUUCUAUUUAUGAAUGGAAUUGGAAGCUUGCUAUAAACACCACGCAAUUUUCAGUGGAAAUUGCAAGUCUUGUAACAGGGCUAUAAAGUGUCACAACUAUGAUCAAAAGGAUUUACAAAUUAUAAUAAAGUAGUAAUAAUCUGGGUGGUAUAUUAUUUAAAUUGAUGGAUCCCAACAAUAUCCAAUGAAAUGAAAUUUAACCAAAACGUUUCUGGCAGCUCCUUGGGCACCUGUUACAGUAGUAUCUGAUCCUGAGUUUCUAUGAAGAAUGAAUCCUCCCUUUCUUGUUACUGUUGGCCUCAACCUCUUGCCAGAACCUUUUGAAUAAGAGAGUUUACUGAGUCUUAUCAGAGGUAGGAUGAUGAAAUUUUUUAAAAGUUCUGACACUGUAUUCUCCUCUCAGAGAAGUGCCUGGAUUGAAUGAAAAUAGUUUAUCAGGUCACUACACUGCAACAGCAACACUGUUCAGAAAUUAGGAUUUAUUUUUACUAAGGCAAUAUUUUAAAAUCUAGAAUAUUUUAAAUCUAGAAUAUUGUAAAAUCUAGAAUACCUAUCAUUAUUAAUUAGUAUUUUUCAUAGCUUUGGUUUGUAUAUUUUAGAUUUGUAGAACUUUUCUUACCAAGUAAUAUAUUCCUAAAUAUUUACUUAGAGGAAUUUAGCAUAUUUUAUUCUUUUUCUAACUUUAAAUGACUAUAAUACUCUUCAUAAGCAUCUACUACAGUAGAGCUUUUUUAGUGUUAUAGAUCCAGUUUGAUUCAUUGUAUUAAACUGAAAACUAUAAAUGUAUAUUAUAUACCAAUAU
ensembl:lncRNA